GAUGAAGAACGUAGCGAAAUGCGAUAAGUAGUGUGAAUUGCAGAAGUACCGUGAAUCAUCGAAUCUUUGAACGCAAAUUGCACUCUCUGGUAUUCCGGGGAGUAUGCCUGUUUGAGGGUCGCUUAACAAACCAUCGAUUUCGUUGCUUUUUUUUAAAGAGUGAUGUUUAUCGGAUUUGAGCCGUCUUUUUUUUUUAUAUUUAAGUGGCUUAAAAUUGAUUUUUUUGGUACGAUCGAAGCGUAUUUUUAUGAUCAAUUUUUGGUUAAAGAAACGCACACGUACCGUUAUUUAUAUGAUGUAAUACGUUUGACUAUUGGAUUUAGUUCAUUCGUAUACGAUAUUUUUCAAUAUUUGACCUCAAAUCAGGUAAGAACACCCGCUGAACUUAAGCAUAUCAAUAAGCGGAGGA
rnacentral:misc_RNA from 1 species